CAGACGCUAUAAAAAGAUUCCACAUACGAGUCACUAUAUAAAAGGUUUACACGAAGCAGUGCAUCUCGAGCAGCACAGGAACCCUCACACCCCAUCCUCCUUUGCGCGCUUAUGACGCACUACUACAUGUAAACCUUUUAUAUGGUCACUCGUAUGUGAAAUCUUUUUAUAGUGCUUG